rnacentral:rRNA from 1 species
UACGUAGGGGGCAAGCGUUGUCCGGAGUUACUGGGCGUAAAGCGCACGUAGGCGGAUAUUUAAGUCAGGGGUGAAAUCCCGGGGCUCAACCCCGGAACUGCCUUUGAUACUGGGUAUCUAGAGUCCAGAAGAGGUGAGUGGAAUUCCGAGUGUAGAGGUGAAAUUCGUAGAUAUUCGGAGGAACACCAGUGGCGAAGGCGGCUCACUGGUCUGGUACUGACGCUGAGGUGCGAAAGCGUGGGGAGCAAACAGG